ACUCAAAGGAAUUGACGGGGACUUGCACAAGCGGUGGAUCAUGCGGCUCAAUUCGAUGACAAACGAAGAACCUCACCAGGGUUUGAAACCCAGACGAUUGCUUUAGGAAACUAGAGCGUCCGCAAGGCGGCUGGGCAGGUGAUGCAUGGUCGUCGUCAGUUCGUGGCUUGAGUUGUUCCCUUCAGUGGGGUAACGAACGCAACCCUCGUUGCCUGUUUUACAUGUCAGGCGAGACUGCCCCCUCACGGGGGAGGAAGGUGAGGAUGACGCCAGAUCAGCAUGUCCCUCUGAUAUCCUGGGCUGCACGCAUGAUACAAUGCACUCGACAACAAGACGCAAUACCGCAAGGUGGAGCAAAUCUUUUAAACGAGUGCCCAGUUCGGAUUGGGGUCUGCAACUCGACCCCAUGAAGCCGGAAUCGCUAGUAAUCGCAGGUCAGCUAUACUGCGGUGAAUACGUUCUCAAGUCUUGUACACACCGCCCGU
rnacentral:rRNA from 1 species